rnacentral:ribozyme from 14 species
UUUUUUUUUUUUUUUUUUCAAAUAUUUGUCUUGUAAAGGUAGAUUUAAAUGAAAGUGAAUAUGUAUGAGAAAGAAGGAAAGAGCAGCCGCUCAUGCUGCUGCCAAACAACAACAGGAAAAACUAUGACA